GCGAAAGUGGCGGAACUGGCAGACGCGCUGGACUUAGGAUCCAGUGGGGCAACUCAUAGGGGUUCGACUCCCCUCUUUCGCA
rnacentral:tRNA from 1 species